rnacentral:rRNA from 1 species
AGUAAAUUGGUUAAGUUAGAAAGGGCGCACGGUGGAUGCCUUGGCACUAGGAGCCGAAGAAGGACGGGACUAACACCGAUAUGCUUUGGGGAGCUGUACGUAAGCGUUGAUCCAGAGAUUUCCGAAUGGGGGAACCCACUAUCUUUAGUCGGAUAGUAUCCUUACGUGAAUACAUAGCGUGAGGAAGGCAGACCCAGGGAACUGAAACAUCUAAGUACCUGGAGGAAGAGAAAGAAAAAUCGAUUUCCUGAGUAGCGGCGAGCGAAACGGAAAGAGCCCAAACCAAGAAGCUUGCUUCUUGGGGUUGUAGGACACUCUAUACGGAGUUACAAAAGAAAGUUAUAAAUGAAGCGGUCUGGAAAGGCCCGCCAAAGACGGUAACAGCCCGGUAGUUGAAAUGGCUUUCCCUCCAGAGUGGAUCCUGAGUACGGCG